rnacentral:rRNA from 1 species
CCUACGGGUGGCAGCAGUGAGGAAUAUUGGUCAAUGGACGAGAGUCUGAACCAGCCAAGUAGCGUGAAGGAUGACUGCCCUAUGGGUUGUAAACUUCUUUUAUAUGGGAAUAAAACGUUCCACGUGUGGGAUUUUGUAUGUACCAUAUGAAUAAGGAUCGGCUAACUCCGUGCCAGCAGCCGCGGUAAUACGGAGGAUCCGAGCCUUAUCCGGAUUUAUUGGGGUUAAAGGGAGCGUAGGUGGAUUGUUAAGUCAGUUGUGAAAGUUUGCGGCUCAACCGUAAAAUUGCAGUUGAAACUGGCAGUCUUGAGUACAGUAGAGGUGGGCGGAAUUCGUGGUGUAGCGGUGAAAUGCUUAGAUAUCACGAAGAACUCCGAUUGCGAAGGCAGUUCACUGGACUGCAACUGACACUGAGGCUCGAAAGUGUGGGUAUCAAACAGGAUUAGAUACCCGUGUAGUC